GAUGAACGCUGGCGGCGUGCCUAAUACAUGCAAGUAGAACGCUGAAGGAAGGAGCUUGCUCUUUCCGGAUGAGUUGCGAACGGGUGAGUAACGCGUAGGUAACCUGCCUGGUAGCGGGGGAUAACUAUUGGAAACGAUAGCUAAUACCGCAUAACAGUAGAUGUUGCAUGAUAUCUACUUAAAAGGUGCAAUUGCACCACUACCAGAUGGACCUGCGUUGUAUUAGCUAGUUGGUGAGGUAACGGCUCACCAAGGCGACGAUACAUAGCCGACCUGAGAGGGUGAGCGGCCACACUGGGACUGAGACACGGCCCAGACUCCUACGGGAGGCAGCAGUAGGGAAUCGUCGGCAAGGGACGGAAGUCUGACCGAGCAACGCCGCGUGAGUGAAGAAGGUUGUCGGAUCGUAAAGCUCUGUUGUAAGAGAAGAACGAGUGUGAGAGUGGAAAGUUCACACUGUGACGGUAUCUUACCAGAAAGAGACGGCUAACUACGUG
rnacentral:rRNA from 1 species